GACGAACGCUGGCGGCGUGCUUAACACAUGCAAGUCGAACGGUAAGGCCUUUCGGGGUACACGAGUGGCGAACGGGUGAGUAACACGUGGGUGAUCUGCCCUGCACUUCGGGAUAAGCCCGGGAAACUGGGUCUAAUACCGGAUAGGACUGCGCGGUGCAUGCCGUGUGGUGGAAAGAUUUAUCGGUGCAGGAUGGGCCCGCGGCCUGUCAGCUUGUUGGUGGGGUAAUGGCCUACCAAGGCGACGACGGGUAGCCGGCCUGAGAGGGCGACCGGCCAGACUGGGACUGAGACACGGCCCAGACUCCUACGGGAGGCAGCAGUGGGGAAUAUUGCACAAUGGGCGCAAGCCUGAUGCAGCGACGCCGCGUGAGGGAUGACGGCCUUCGGGUUGUAAACCUCUUUCAGCAGGGACGAAGCGUGAGUGACGGUACCUGCAGAAGAAGCACCGGCCAACUACGUG
rnacentral:rRNA from 1 species